rnacentral:rRNA from 1 species
UACGGGGGGGGCAAGCGUUGUUCGGAAUUACUGGGCGUAAAGGGCUUGUAGGUGGCCAACUAAGUCCGACGUGAAAUCCCUAGGCUUAACCUAGGAACUGCGUCGGAUACUGGAUGGCUUGAAUCCGGGAGAGGGAUGCGGAAUUCCAGGUGUAGCGGUGAAAUGCGUAGAUAUCUGGAGGAAUACCGAUGGCGAAGGCAGGUCUCUGGGCUGACACUGACGCUCAUGCACGAAAGCGUGGGGAGCAAACAGG